GUAUAUACUUUCAUCCUUGAACGAAUGAUUUAAUUCAUCCAUUUUGUUCAAGUCUCUGCACUCGGAGCAGCUUGUCGAGCAAUCCGUCGAUUUCUCAAGUGUUGCCACUUCGCUCUGGCCAUAGCGAACGGAAAUCCUCCUCCAAUGCGGUCCUUCGCCCAGGCAGCACAGACAGAGACGGAGGCCGUGCCCUUGAGGACGGUCCAGAUCGAGGGCUCGGUCGCAUUGAAAAUCGUGAAGCGUUGCAAGGAGUGCAUGCCUGCGCUCGUGACAGGUCAACUGCUUGGACUUCACAUCGGAAGCAUCCUCGAAGUCACCAAUUGCUUUCCAUUUCUGAAAUCCUGCUGGGACGUAAUUACUGUUGGCGGAUUAGUUAGUCUUGGUGUUGAUUCAUCAUCUUACCAGGUUCAAAUGUAUCAAUCAACAUACAUGGGGUCGUUCCAAACUGUGGAGCUCAUCGAGACGCUUAUGAAUUACCAGGAGAACAUCAAAAGAUGUGUUUGCAUCAUUUAUGAUCCUCUUCGUUCCAGCCAAGGAGUGUUGGCGUUGAAAGCAUUGAAGCUAGCGGAAGGUUUCAUGGAGCUCUAUUGCACCCAAAAUUUUUUCUGGGGGGAAGUGAGUCUAUCCGAUGCUGAGGGAGAAGAAUUCAACCUUGAAAGACGUUUUUGAGGAAAUUCCAGUACGUCUUUUAACACAUGUGACCUUCGCAUGCGUUUGCAGCUGCAGGUAUUGCAUUUGACUGCCAUUUUUAUUUAUGUUCUAUCCGCCGUAAUCGUAGGUGAAAAUUUGCAACUUUGCGCUUGUGAGUUCCAUGAUGACUGAGCUGGAACCCGACGUACAAGCUACUCAGGUAUUUCGAAUUGCACAACAAAAUGUUCAGAUGUGGAUUCUUGAGCCUUCAUGAUUGCUGCCUUGGAUUCUCGUUGUCGUUAUUUACUCACCGACUUGCGAGUUGGGUGGACUUGUACAGUGCGAUUUUGAUAGACUCGUCCUAUCCACAAAUCCUUUCAUGGAAAAGAAUCUGAAAUUUUUGAUCAUGUGUAUGGACGAUCUUUCCAUGGAGCAGCAGAGGGCAUGUCGUUUUUGACAAUUGCGACUAUGUUGUGAGCCUCUAACAAUCCUAACUACUCCUAUCGUAUUUUGUUAAGUUUCGUUUGAACAUGACGAGACCCUGAAUCCGAAUUUUAACUUGGACCAUUGUUUACUGAUGCAUGAAUGAGUGUUUAUUCUGUUGACAUGCAAUUAGCGUAGCUAAUGGCACUGCUCAUCACAUAUGUGAUUCGUCAGGUCGCAUUGUGAAGAAACUCCAUUAAUCAACUCUGAUGCAUGUACGUGUGUAGUUCCAAUAUCAUUACGUAACUUGUCAGGGCAGCAAGUUCAGCAACAAACCUGGUUGCAAAAGAGAAGAACUGAGAAUGCUGCCCGAAGAGCUGCUGGAGAGGAGCCACUUCCUGAGGAAGAACCGAACAAUCCUAUCUUUAAAACUCGACCAGAGCCUUCACGGCUUGACAGCUAUCUGAUAUCUAAUCAGAUUUGGAAUUACUGCAGUCAAGUGAACGGGUAAGAUUCCAUUUAUUUGGUCGUGUUCAGUCAUUCGAAGUAAUUUUCAUCACAUAACCGAUCAUUAUCUACUACAUUGAUAUUGUGCAUCUAGUUUGUAAGUUCUGAAUAUAUUCCUAGCAUACCCCAACCAACUGUUUCUUAAUGUCUCUGAACCAUUAUUUGUAAGCAGUCAGUUAGUGUGACUGUUCAGGAAGGAUUUUUCUGAACUCUGUUCAUAUUUGGCUGAUUAAAAGAAAACUAUGUUGUGGUUGGGUCUCCCCAAAAUUAUCAGCGUUAGUAGAGUGUUAUUUGCAAGUGAAAGCGACAUGCAUGAACAAUUUGAGGUUUUCUCUACCACCAUGAGUGUCGAGAGCAUAAAUAUGAACCUCUUUGUUCUCAACGUUGAUGGCACUGAGCUCAUCCAUGUGCGUUGCUGACGCAAUGACAAGCUUAUUUCUUAGCUGGAGCCAAGAACGCCUCAAGCUGAGCUUUUAACUGCUUGUUGGAACGACUGAAGUAUGCUACUUCUUCGGCAUGCUUCUUAUCUUCGUA